GGCUUAUGGUUAACAAGGGUACGUAGGACAGAAAGUCACAUUUCAUCAUGCGGCCCUAGCAUUGUUCCAUAUUGACACGAAUCAGAUGAACACAUUUCACAUUUAACAUCGUUAUUUUAUUUUGGGGUAGCCUGCUUUGGGGUGUAAAAGUCACCAUUUCUUGUAAUUGUGUUUCAAACAUGAAGUUUCUCUCUUUAGAAGGAGCCUUUGGAAUCAUGAUUCUAUUCUCCAGAUAGCAGAGGAUGGUCUCCCUCGAACUGGAGGAAGAGUGAAUGAACGCCCUGAGCGUAUUCCAUGCUAGGCCUAUCGGUGUGCCAGCAGCAUUUUUAGCCCAGAAGAAAAUGGAGGAAAACAUCUUAACAUCAGUAGCCGCAUUGAUCUGCUCUAGACAGCCUCCUUCAUAGUACGGGUUGAUGGCCAUGCAUCUGGAAUGGUGGCAGCACCAAGACCAGAAAGGGAGUACAAGUUUGUAAAUGCAUGUCUGGUGCAAGAGACUGCUGGAGAUGACUCAAGUAACCAGAACUCGUUCUUUUCAAGGCUCCUAUUAGGAGACUUCUGGAGAAUUAUCAGUAGGAAGGUUAACGAGUUCCUCAACGAUCGCUUUCAUGUCAUUUAAUCCUAGAAUAACCCAAUUUCUAUGAAGUUUGCAAGAAGUCUGUUCAUAAUUCAUGUGGGGGGAUAAAUAAAAAUAAACCCGUGUUAUCCCAA